GGUGCCCGACCGUGUUUGCCACCGGCAUGUCGCCUGAGCCAACACGUACACAAUGGGAUGCGGCGUCAGGACCCCGCUCGACGAGCGCGGCCCGCCCGCAGCCCCCCUGCUUCGGCAGGUUCAGAGCCAAAUCCGGAGCGGCACGGUGGGGCCUCC
rnacentral:other from 1 species